ACGAACGCUGGCGGCGUGCCUAACACAUGCAAGUCGAACGAAAGCUCCGGAUCUGAUCCUCGGGAGAAGAGAAGGAAGACUUAGUGGCGGACGGGUGAGUAACGCGUGAGCAACCUGCCUUUCAGAGGGGGAUAACAGUUGGAAACGACUGCUAAUACCGCAUAACGUAUCGGUGUCGCAUGGCACUGAUACCAAAGCUGAGGCGCUGAGAGAUGGGCUCGCGUCCGAUUAGAUAGUUGGUGGGGUAACGGCCUACCAAGUCGACGAUCGGUAGCCGGACUGAGAGGUUGAACGGCCACAUUGGGACUGAGACACGGCCCAGACUCCUACGGGAGGCAGCAGUGGGGGAUAUUGCACAAUGGGCGAAAGCCUGAUGCAGCAACGCCGCGUGAGGGAAGACGGUUUUCGGAUUGUAAACCUCUGUCUUUGGUGAAGAAGAAAGUGGCGGUAGCCAAGGAGGAAGCCACGGCUAACUACGUGCCAGCCGCCGC
rnacentral:rRNA from 1 species